GGUUGGUCUGAAGGUAGUGAGUUAUCUCGCGUGAUUGUUCACAGUCAGUUACAGAUUGAACUCCUUGUUCUACUACUCUCCCCCCUCCUCACUACUGCACUUGACUAGUCUCAA
ensembl:misc_RNA Y_RNA Y RNA